rnacentral:rRNA from 1 species
UACGUAGGCAGCAAGCGUUGUUCGGAGUACUGGGCGUAAAGCGUGCGCAGGCGGUUUUGUAAGUCUGUCGUGAAAGCCCCGGGCUCCAACCUGGGAAUUGCGAUGGAGACUGCAAGGCUUGAAUCUGGCAGAGGGGGGUAGAAUUCCACGUGUAGCAGUGAAAUGCGUAGAGAUGUGGAGGAACACCGAUGGCCGAAGGCAGCCCCCUGGGUCAAGAUUGACGCUCAUGCACGAAAGCGGUGGGGAGCAAACAGGA